UAUUUUUAUCAAAUCUACGGCAUACUCAUCCACAAGUUAUUGCCAUUAUAAAUUAAUCUCCUUAUUAGUGAACUUAGCAGCAAUUCUUGACUUACAAAUCUACGACAUACUCAUCGUAUAUGGUUCUUGACUUACAAAUGUACAACAGUUCUUAUCAAUUUGUGUUUCUUGUGCUACUGAAUUGUUUUUUAUACUUGAGUAAUGUAAAUAAGUCUAUGCAAAUAUUGUAUGCAGAUCAUAAUGUAUUAAUA
rnacentral:lncRNA from 7 species